UCUUUGCUCCUAGAUGUAUACCUUUAUAUUUAACCUAAUUAAAACAUACAUUGCUUGCGCCCCGUUUAUCAACUGAUCCAGAUUGCUCUGUCCUCUUCAUUAAUUACCACACCUCCAAAUGAAGAGCCCUUGUUGUCAUUCUCAGGGACAAGAAUUGAAUGGGCCAUGAAGAAAAAUACCAUUUCGCCUCUCUUGGUACUCCUUCCAUUGCAGAGUCAAAGCACAUUAUUUGGACAGUAUGAAGAACCACAUGAAGGAAGCCUGCUCAGUUGCUGCUUAUGUUGUAGCUGACAGAUCAAGCAAUUACUGACUGCUUCCCUGAAUCCCCCUGUAACUUCACAUGGCUGUCUCCUGCGCUUCCUGCUUGAAUCUGUCAUGUAGAGCCCCUGUUCAGCGUUAAACACCUUGCUUGUUCUACCCCAGAGAUGGCUGAAUUUCAGAGGUACUGUGUGGGCCCCAUCAGUGAGGCGUCUGACCACCUGUCCUGACACAAUAAAAGUUCAGAUACUAAGUCUGAGCUCCAAAAUACCUACUGCCCCACGUCCGUACCCUUGGACCCAGCCCUAAGUGUGUAGCCCUAUGACACAGCAAUUGCUUGCUCCCUGGGUUACAGAACAGAACUCUUCAUGCAUGGGACACAGAUGUAUACAGUGCUAGCACAUCGAAGGACUUGACCUGAAAGAUAAGCAUCAGGAAACAAGAAGAGUUUGAAAGACUGUGGGAAAUCCCUUAAUAUUCAAGAAACAGUCUACCUUUCUCAGUGUAACUGUGAGCCAAAAACCACCAAACUGUAGCUCCCCUGUUUUUGGUGAAGUUCCCUAAAACUGAAAUAAUUUGAGUUUGUCUGAG